UGCAGUCGACGGUAACGCGGGGCAACCUGGCGACGAGUGGCGAACGGGUGAGUAAUAUAUCGGAACGUGCCCAGUUGUGGGGGAUAACUACUCGAAAGAGUGGCUAAUACCGCAUGAGACCUGAGGGUGAAAGCGGGGGACUCGCAAGAGCCUCGCGCAGUUGGAGCGGCCGAUAUCAGAUUAGCUAGUUGGCGGGGUAAAAGCCCACCAAGGCAACGAUCUGUAGCUGGUCUGAGAGGACGACCAGCCACACUGGGACUGAGACACGGCCCAGACUCCUACGGGAGGCAGCAGUGGGGAAUUUUGGACAAUGGACGCAAGUCUGAUCCAGCCAUGCCGCGUGCGGGAAGAAGGCCUUCGGGUUGUAAACCGCUUUUGUCAGGGAAGAAACGGCUCGGGUUAAUACCUUGGGCUAAUGACGGUACCUGAAGAAUAAGCACCGGCUAACUACGUGCCAGCAGCCGCGGUAAUACGUAGGGUGCAAGCGUUAAUCGGAAUUACUGGGCGUAAAGCGUGCGCAGGCGGUUAUGCAAGACAGAUGUGAAAUCCCCGGGCUCAACCUGGGAACUGCAUUUGUGACUGCAUGGCUAGAGUACGGUAGAGGGGGAUGGAAUUCCGCGUGUAGCAGUGAAAUGCGUAGAUAUGCGGAGGAACACCGAUGGCGAAGGCAAUCCCCUGGACCUGUACUGACGCUCAUGCA
rnacentral:rRNA from 1 species